AUGAGUUUUGGACGGAAUGAAAUUUUCCUCCUGACUCUUUUACGAGGUGUCCAUUGUGAUGUUCAGCUGGUAGAGUCUGGGGGUGAUGUGAGGCAGCCUGGAGGAUCUCUUAGCCUUUCCUCCAAAGCUUCUGGAUUCACCUUCAGCAUCUAUUACAUUAGCUGGGUUCUGCAGGCUCCAGGGAAAGGUCUCGAGUGGCACGCAUCUAUUUAUAGUAACGUAGGAAAAACAUUCUAUCCAGACUCUGUGAAAGGCAGAUUAACCAUCUCCCUAAACUACAGCAACGAUGUGCUGCAACUGCAAGUGAAUUCCCUUAAAGCUGAGGACACAGCCAUGUAUUAG